AACGCACGAGACCUGCGGACCUGCGGAAGGAUCAUUAAUGAGAAACUGCCCCCCGCGGGUAGAUCUCCCACCCUUUGUAAACUUACCUUUGUUGCUUUGGCAGGCCCGUCUCCGGACCGCCGGCUUCGGCUGGCCAGUGCCUGCCAGAGGAUUCUAAAACUCUGUCUGUCAGUGUUGUCUGAGUCUAUAUACAAUCGUUAAAACUUUCAACAACGGAUCUCUAGAUCGGAAGAGCACACG
rnacentral:misc_RNA from 1 species